UACAGAGGGUGCGAGCGUUGUCCGGAAUCACUGGGCUUAAAGGGCGCGUAGGCGGGCGGGCAAGUCGGAGGUGAAAGCCCCCAGCUCAACUGGGGAAGUGCCCUCGAUACUGCCGGCCUGGAGGGAGGUAGGGGCGUGCGGAACUUCCGGUGGAGCGGUGAAAUGCGUAGAUAUCGGAAGGAACACCGGUGGCGAAGGCGGCACGCUGGGCCUCUCCUGACGCUGAGGCGCGAAAGCCAGGGGAGCGAACGGG
rnacentral:rRNA from 1 species